CGCGCGCUGGCCGCUGACCGGCGUCACCGUGAUCCACCGUUACGGCCGUGUCGUGCCGGGUGACAAUAUCGUGCUGGUGCUGACUGCGUCGGUACAUCGCGAGGCGGCGUUUCAGGCCGCGGAAUUUCUGAUGGAUUAUCUCAAGACCAAUGCGCCGUUCUGGAAAUCCGAGGAACGCGCGGACAACAAAGUGUGGGUCGAUGCGCAGGCCCAUGACGACAAUGCAGCGGCGCGGUGGAAGAAGU
rnacentral:misc_RNA from 1 species